rnacentral:rRNA from 1 species
GACGAACGCUGGCGGCGUGCUUAACACAUGCAAGUCGUACGGUAAGGCCCUUCGGGGUACACGAGUGGCGAACGGGUGAGUAACACGUGGGUGAUCUGCCCUGCACUUCGGGAUAAGCCUGGGGAACUGGGUCUAAUACCGGAUAGGACUCCGGACUGCAUGGUCUGGGGUGGAAAGCUUUUGCGGUGUGGGAUGGGCCCGCGGCCUAUCAGCUUGUUGGUGGGGUGAUGGCCUACCAAGGCGACGACGGGUAGCUGGCCUGAGAGGGUGACCGGCCACACUGGGACUGAGAUACGGCCCAGACUCCUACGGGAGGCAGCAGUGGGGAAUAUUGCACAAUGGGCGCAAGCCUGAUGCAGCGACGCCGCGUGAGGGAUGACGGCCUUCGGGUUGUAAACCUCUUUCAGCAUCGACGAAGCGAAAGUGACGGUAGGUGCAGAAGAAGGACCGGCCAACUACGUGCCAGCCGCCGCCGUAA